rnacentral:lncRNA from 1 species
CCUCGCUCCCGAAAUAGGAAGCCGGGGCUUGCACUCCCGCAAAGGGCUGGGGCCCAUCCCCCACAGCCCUCCCGUCGCCUACGUCAGCGGCGCCCGCGGUCCUGUUGGUGCCAUCUAACCCAUCCCUGGCCUGGCUGCGGGGCGCUUCCCGCAACCCAAGUAGAGCAUCCCCCGGCCAUACUGAAAGGAAACUCGCCCUUGAGCUGGUGCCACGCUGGAGAAACGCCGCUUGAUCCUUCUGCCGCCUUGUUUUUUAAUUCGCUGUGGUUUUAUUCUUAUAUUGUGUAUGCUCGUGUAGGCGUACUUAUGGGGAAGGGGUGGGAGACUGGGGCGUUCGUUGUAACUCGCGGGAGUCCCUUCUCUGCUUCCACCGUGUGGGUCCCACGUAUCAAACUGGGGUUGUCAAGGCUUGACAGCAAGGGCCUUUACCCAAAAACCCAUCUCAACGGUCCUAUGUCCUCUUCUUGUAGAAGAGGCUCAGAGGCUCGGAGAGGAAUGACGCGGUCGCCGUAA